CUUUUCUUGGCUUACCCACUCGGUGCUGUGACAGAUGAAGAAAUGGCUGCCCUUACAUUGUCUUCUUCCUGCUUUGAUCCUGCUGAUUUUGGAGUUUCCCUCACCAUGAAUGAAGACUGUACUGCCAAGGACACUGUGGAAACAUGAGUAUAAGGCUGAUACUUGAGGGCCAGGAGCCAGCUAUUGAUGAGGAAAGUUUAAGACACGAUGACGGACCACAGCCCCAUAGAAGUAUUGGAAAUUACACCGCGGAAGGUCAAUGCGAGCCACUGAGAGAGAGUGCACGACUCCAAGAACUCCGGCAUCUCAGGACUCCGCGACGAUGAAGGUUGCUCUGCUGUGCCGACGUUUGCCAAGGAGAGAAGAGAAUUAGAGAUGAAACUCUGAAGUCAUGAAGACUUGGAGAGUUGGAUGAAAUACUGAGGUUGCUGUAGCUGUUGCGUUAGACUGGUUUUUGUGUCACCAAGUUGAAAGAAUGAUUCUUUUUAACAUUUUUAGCACACAUUGAUUUUGUAAUUUUACGUACUAUGUUUUACUUGUAAGAGAAUAAAUGUUUUCAUCUGUGAAAAAACUCUCUCCUUUGAGGAUACCUGUGGUGGUUUUGCUUCCCUCUGCCAUCUUUGUUAAAGGACAAAGGGAAAAGAGGAGGCAGAGAGUUGAGGACACACACACACUCAC
rnacentral:lncRNA from 1 species